rnacentral:rRNA from 1 species
UACGUAGGGUCCGAGCGUUGUCCGGAAUUACUGGGCGUAAAGAGCUCGUAGGUGGUUUGUCGCGUUGUUCGUGAAAACUCACAGCUCAACUGUGGGCGUGCGGGCGAUACGGGCAGACUUGAGUACUGCAGGGGGAGACUGGAAUUCCUGGUGUAGCGGUGGAAUGCGCAGAUAUCAGGAGGAACACCGGUGGCGAAGGCGGGUCUCUGGGCAGUAACUGGCGCUGAGGAGCGAAAGCGUGGGGAGCGAACAGG